CCAUGCGAGUCUAAAGGUUUCUUCGGAAACCUUGGCGGACUGCUCAGUAACACGUGGAUAACCUGCCCUUGGGACUGGAAUAACCCCGGGAAACUGGGGAUAAUACCGGAUAGAUCAGGGAUGCUGGAAUGCGCCUUGAUCUAAAGCCCCGGCGCCUAAGGAUGGGUCUGCGACCUAUCAGGUUGUAGUGGGUGUAACGUACCUACUAGCCGACGACGGGUACGGGUUGUGAGAGCAAGAGCCCGGAGAUGGAUUCUGAGACACGAAUCCAGGCCCUACGGGGUGCAGCAGGCGCGGAACCUUUACAAUGUGCGAAAGCAUGAUAAGGGGACUCCGAGUGCCAGCAUCUAAUGCUGGCUGUCCUUGUGCCUAAAAAGCACAAGAUAGCAAGGGCCGGGUAAGACCGGUGCCAGCCGCCGCGGUAACACCGGCGGCCCGAGUGGUAGCCGCUAUUAUUGGGUCUAAAGGGUCCGUAGCCGGUUCGGUAAGUCCUUUGGGAAAUCUGGUUGCUUAACAAUCAAACUGCCAAGGGAUACUGCUGAACUUGAGACCGGGAGAGGUAAGAGGUACUUCAGGGGUAGGAGUGAAAUCUUGUGAUCCCUGGGGGACCAUCUGUGGCGAAGGCGUCUUACCAAAACGGGUCUGACGGUGAGGGACAAAAGCUGGGGGCGCAAACCGGAUUAGAUACCCGGGUAGUCCCAGCCGUAAACGAUGCUCGCUAUGUGUCAGGUACGGUGCGACCGUAUCUGGUGCCGUAGGGAAGCCGUGAAGCGAGCCACCUGGGAAGUACGGUCGCAAGACUGAAACUU
rnacentral:rRNA from 1 species